GUGAAUCAUCGAAUCUUUGAACGCAAAUUGCACUCUCUGGUAUUCCGGAGAGUAUGCCUGUUUGAGGGUCAGUUUAAAUAAAAAUCGGUGUGGUUGCUGCCUUUCGUGGUGACGCACCGGAUUGGGUUGUUCUGCCUUUGGUUUAGGGGCCCUAAAUUUUGCAUUGUUUUUUUGAACGUAAUUUAAUGAUUUUUAGGAAGGUUUCCGUUUCG
rnacentral:misc_RNA from 1 species